UUUAUUACAACGGAGAGUUUGAUCCUGGCUCAGGAUGAACGCUAGCGGCAGGCCUAACACAUGCAAGUCGAACGGUAACAUGAGAGCUUGCUCUUGAUGACGAGUGGCGCACGGGUGAGUAACACGUGUACAACUUACCUCUAACUGGGGCAUAGCCCGAAGAAAUUCGGAUUAAUACCCCAUAACAAUUGAAAUUCGCAUGUUUUUCAAUUUAAAACUCCGGUGGUUAGAGAUGGGUACGCGUCCUAUUAGUUAGUUGGUGAGGUAACGGCUCACCAAGACUUCGAUAGGUAGGGGUUCUGAGAGGAAGACCCCCCACACUGGUACUGAGACACGGACCAGACUCCUACGGGAGGCAGCAGUGAGGAAUAUUGGACAAUGGACGAAAGUCUGAUCCAGCCAUGCCGCGUGAAGGAAGACGGCCCUCUGGGUUGUAAACUUCUUUUAUAUGGGAAUAAACCCCCCGACGUGUCGGGGGCUGAAUGUACCAUACGAAUAAGCACCGGCUAACUCCGUGCCAGCAGCCGCGGUAAUACGGAGGGUGCAAGCGUUAUCCGGAUUUAUUGGGUUUAAAGGGUCCGUAGGUGGGAUUGUAAGUCAGUGGUGAAAUCUUUCGGCUUAACCGGAAAACUGCCAUUGAAACUGCAGUUCUUGAGUAUGCUCGAUGUAGGCGGAAUAUGUCAUGUAGCGGUGAAAUGCAUAGAUAUGACAUAGAACACCGAUAGCGAAGGCAGCUUACAAGCGCAUAACUGACACUGAGGGACGAAAGCGUGGGGAGCGAACAGGAUUAGAUACCCUGGUAGUCCACGCCGUAAACGAUGAUCACUAGACAUUGGCGACAUACUGUCGGUGUCAAAGCGAAAGUAUUAAGUGAUCCACCUGGGGAGUACGAUCGCAAGAUUGAAACUCAAAGGAAUUGACGGGGGCCCGCACAAGCGGUGGAGCAUGUGGUUUAAUUCGAUGAUACGCGAGGAACCUUACCUGGGCUUGAACGCAUUUUGACAGAUACGGAAACGUAUCCUUCUUCGGACAAUUUGCGAGGUGCUGCAUGGUUGUCGUCAGCUCGUGCCGUGAGGUGUCGGGUUAAGUCCCAUAACGAGCGCAACCCCUAUCGUUAGUUGCUAGCAGGUAAUGCUGAGGACUCUAACGAAACUGCCCGUGCAAACGGUGAGGAAGGUGGGGAUGACGUCAAAUCAUCACGGCCCUUACGUCCAGGGCUACACACGUGCUACAAUGGCGCAUACAAAGGGCAGCUACCUGGUGACAGGAUGCUAAUCUCUAAAGUGCGUCUCAGUUCGGAUCGAAGUCUGCAACUCGACUUCGUGAAGCUGGAAUCGCUAGUAAUCGCAUAUCAGCCAUGAUGCGGUGAAUACGUUCCCGGGCCUUGUACACACCGCCCGUCAAGCCAUGGAAGCUGGGGGUGCCUGAAGUCGGUAACCGUAAGGAGCCGCCUAGGGCAAAACUGGUAACUGGGGCUAAGUCGUAACAAGGUAGCCGUACCGGAAGGUGCGGCUGGAACACCUCCUUUUUAGAGACA
rnacentral:rRNA from 1 species